rnacentral:rRNA from 1 species
CUACGUGCCAGCAGCCGCGGUAAUACGUAGGUCCCGAGCGUUGUCCGGAUUUACUGGGCGUAAAGCGAGCGCAGACGGUUACUUAAGCAGGAUGUGAAAUCCCCGGGCUUAACCUGGGAACUGCGUUCUGAACUGGGUGACUAGAGUGUGUCAGAGGGAGGUAGAAUUCCACGUGUAGCAGUGAAAUGCGUAGAGAUGUGGAGGAAUACCGAUGGCGAAGGCAGCCUCCUGGGAUAACACUGACGUUCAUGCUCGAAAGCGUGGGUAGCAAACAGGAUUAGAUACCCUGGUAGUCCACGCCCUAAACGAUGUCAAUUAGCUGUUGGGCAACUUGAUUGCUUGGUAGCGUAGCUAACGCGUGAAAUUGACCGCCUGGGGAGUACGGUCGCAAGAUUAAAACUCAAAGGAAUUGACGGGGACCCGCACAAGCGGUGGAUGAUGUGGAUUAAUUCGAUGCAACGCGAAGAACCUUACCUGGUCUUGACAU